UCCGUUAUGGUCUAGGGGUUAGGAUUCUCCGUACGUUCCGGAGCGGCCCGGGUUCGAUUCCCGGUAACGGAA
rnacentral:tRNA from 1 species